GUGCACGCUUUGACAGCAUAUAUACUAAAAUUAGCAGGAUACAGAUAAGAUUAGCAUGGCCUCUGCAUAAGAAUGACAUGCAAAAAGUGCAUAAACAGCCAUUAUGG
rnacentral:snRNA from 1 species